rnacentral:tRNA from 1 species
GGGUUGUGGCUCAGUGGUAGAGCACUUACCUAGCAUGUGUGAGGUACCAGAUUCAAUUCUGAGCACUGCUCA